UGGAGUCAAACAUGGGAUUACAACUGUAUUCAUGACGUGAAAUAGGGGAUUACACUAUUUUUAAAACGGAAAGUGAAUCAAUUAACAUAAUAGACUCCU
rnacentral:pre_miRNA from 1 species